AGCGUCGUCUGUGAAUCAUCGAAUCUUUGAACGCACAUUGCACUGUCCUCAAUCGGACAGUAUACCUGUUUGAGUAUCAUCUAAUCUCACAUGCAUUUUUGCGAUCGCAAGAUCAGAGAAUGCAAGUGGACUUGAGCCACAGUACUUUUGUGCUCGGCUUGCAAUAUAUGAUGACUGACUUUUCAGCCGACAGAGAUAGUACUCGAUGCUUACGCGUCAGUUCAAUCUGUUCAAGCUAAGCCCAGUCAAUUUAACAUUGGAUGAGCUUUGUUCAACUACCACGCCAGUUUCCUGGAAUGGUUUGAACAUAAGUGAUCUACCAAAUAUUGAUCUCAAAUCAAGUAAGAUUACCCGCUGAACUUAAGCAUAUCAAUAAGCGGAGG
rnacentral:rRNA from 1 species